GAUGAACGCUGGCGGCGUGCUUAACACAUGCAAGUCGAACGGAAAGGCCCAAGCUUGCUUGGGUACUCGAGUGGCGAACGGGUGAGUAAAACGUGGGUGAUCUGCCCUGCACUUCGGGAUAAGCCUGGGAAACUGGGUCUAAUACCGGAUAGGACCACGUCUUGGAUGUUGUGGUGGAAAGUUUUUUCGGUGUGGGAUGAGCUCGCGGCCUAUCAGCUUGUUGGUGGGGUAAUGGCCUACCAAGGCGUCGACGGGUAGCCGGCCUGAGAGGGUGUACGGCCACAUUGGGACUGAGAUACGGCCCAGACUCCUACGGGAGGCAGCAGUGGGGAAUAUUGCACAAUGGGCGCAAGCCUGAUGCAGCGACGCCGCGUGGGGGAUGACGGCCUUCGGGUUGUAAACUCCUUUCGCUAGGGACGAAGCGUUUUUGUGACGGUACCUGGAGAAGAAGCACCGGCUAACUACGUG
rnacentral:rRNA from 1 species